rnacentral:lncRNA from 1 species
CUUUACAUCAAAAAAAAAAAAGCCUUUCAGUAAUGGUGUUUGGUUUCAAAAGUCCAUGAUAAGCUUUGCUUCAUUUAAAGUUGCAAUAGCAAAUCACAAUCUAAGAUACAAAACAUAUAUGCAGUUAUAGCCUCAUUGGUACAGUGGAUGUUUCUUGGCAAUUGAAGAUCGAUGUCUCCUCUUUUAUAGGCACUUCUAGUGCUUGGUCUUGGUGAUGGUUGUCCAAGCUUACCCUUCUCUCCUGGAUCUUUUUUCAACUAGCUAGUUGUGCAAAGGGAGAUCAUUACCUUGCAUAACAUCUCGUAAUUGGUCUCUUUAGCAUGAUUCAUUUAGGUGCACAUGCUUUGGAACAGAUUACACGAGAGGUAUUGAUCUCCAAUGCAAGAUAAAAACCUCUUAUCUCUUGGAACCUCCAUUUGUUAAAUGAAUGAACACGAGGGAACUGCUAAAAGCAAUAAAGAGAGAGCUCAUGAGAGAGAGAGGUUUUUAGAAGUUAAUAAUGAGGAUUUCUACUUUAAUGAAAUCUUUUACCAAAUGGAGAAAAGAAAAGGACAAAAACAAUAACAAAACAAAGUAGAAAAUUAUAUUUUCUUCUAAUAUAAAGUGGGAAAGCCUAGAGCGCGGCAUGCAAAGCGUGAUAGACUUUAAGGCCUUCCAUACGGUAGAUUUGUGUCCUAACUAAAGAUACUUAUUUAUAGGCCCAUGUAUUUAUGGUCUAACCAGAAGUGGGCUACAUUUCUCAACAAGCUGCUUUUCAAUAACCAAACAAAAGCUUUUCAACCUAGCUACUUUUUAUUUUCUCUUUUCAUCCAACAAGACAAUUCUAACCUUUUUUUCUUUUUAUCAACUCUGAGAAGGCUUCUGAUAAAUGAAACCAUUGUUUUAGUGGAAGAAAAUAUUUUUAAACCAUGCCAUUCUGAAACAUAUUAGACCAUACUUUGCAGAUUAAGAAAUAGAAUAUUAAGUUCCAAUGGGUUUUUUUUUCUUGCGAAAUUAUGAAACCACGAUAUGAUUUAAGAUUUGCAACCCAAGGAAUGAACAAUAGAAAUCAGAAAUUGUAGUCAUAAAUUGGGCUUUCUGGAGUAAUUCAAUUACCUGCAAAGCUUUAGAAUAUGGAAAAAUCCAAGAAAUUCAUCAACAGUUGGAAAAAAUUCAGAUAACCAAAAUCAAGAAUAAAAUAACAACUUUAAAAAAAAAAAAAGCUUCUUGAAAUUCUUGUAUACUUGUCUACUUUCAUAAGUAUCGUCGUGGAGGGGGUUUGGAAGUAACAUGUAAAAGAGGCAAAAAAGGUAAACGAGAGCAAAAAUCAACAACUAUGUAUGCGACCAUUUGUUUGUAAAACACAAAGAUUUCUUAAAUUAGUCUAGAAUAAUCUGCAAAUAAAUCAUAAAAUCCAUCUAAUACUCCAUAACAAUUGAUGAAUUCUGAAAUUGAUAUAUUCAAAGAGAAUAAUUUGGAGGAUCAUUAGACCAAGAGAACAACUCAGAAAUUUUCAGUUUAAAUAAUAAUUGAUAGACACUACAUAGCCAAAUCACAUACAAGUGGGUGAUGCAUGGUAGGAGAGGUUUUGGAAUAACAGAAGUAACUUUUUUUUUUAUUAAGAGGUAUGGUGAUUACUUAUAGAGCUAUGUAAGGAAUUAACUAUGUCAAACAUUCGAGGAAACACCCUUCCCAGGUCCAAACAUGGAACCCCUUUCCCACGUAAGGUUUAAGUGCUGUAAUCCAAAAGGCUAAUGUCUCACCCCUUUUGCAAGAUUAAACCAACAAAGAUACAUAACCUAUUCACAAAACUCUCUUUUGAUCAAUACGUUUGCAUAAUGAUAGAAAAUUGGCAUAGAAAAUUAUUAUUCGUCCUAUAAACAAUGAGAACAUCUAUAUAAUGGCCAUUUAAACCAAAUAAAAGCGAAAUAGAGAUAAAACGAUUUUGGGAUUGUCAAAUUGGUUAUGACAAUAAACUUUACUUUUUGUUUCGCUCGAGAGAAGCAACGAGCAUAACAGUCCCUGUUUCCAGAUAGAAAGAAAGAAAAAAAAAAAAAAUCAUCAUUACCUCGUUCAUUCUUUCAUUACAAACAGAGCUCUUGACCAAAAAGAAGAAAGACAACGAAAAUCAUAAUGGUAUAUAUUUGAUUAGCAUGAUGGUAACAAUUUGUAGAACAAGUAAAAGGUAAAAAUAUAUAUAGGAUCAAAAAUAUAAGUAAAUAACCCACCAACUCGAAGUUCAAACUGCAAUAAGCUUCAUCAACUCGUCUCUCUCUAUCUAGCUUUGGAGCGAGUUCUCUCUCAUUUUAGGAUUAACGUCAGUUCUGGCCUGAGCACACUAAGUUU